rnacentral:rRNA from 1 species
GACGAACGCUGGCGGCGUGCCUAACACAUGCAAGUCGAGCGGAGAUUGCAGCAAUGUAAUCUUAGCGGCGGACGGGUGAGUAACGCGUGGGCAACCUACCUUUAUCUGGGGGAUAACACAGGGAAACUUGUGCUAAUACCGCAUAACAUCAUGAAAAGACAUCUUUUUAUGAUCAAAGGAGUAAUCCGGAUAGAGAUGGGCCCGCGUCCGAUCAGCUAGUUGGUGGUGUAACGGACCACCAAGGCGACGAUCGGUAGCCGAACUGAGAGGUUGAUCGGCCACAUUGGGACUGAGACACGGCCCAGACUCCUACGGGAGGCAGCAGUGGGGAAUAUUGCGCAAUGGGGGAAACCCUGACGCAGCAACGCCGCGUGAAGGAUGAAGGUUUUCGGAUCGUAAACUUCUUUGAUGAGGGACGAAUAAAUGACGGUACCUCAAAAACAAGCCACGGCUAACUACGUGCCAGCAGCCGCGGUAACAC